ACAGGCUAAAGAGGGGGAAGUUCUGGAGGUUGGAAAGAGGACUGGAAUCUGAUUGGGGUUCCAACAAAUCUGUAACACCGCUGGGAACGACUGGGUCCCCUUUAGGUCCUUUAGGACAGCGUUUGAAAUCUUGCUUUCCCCUGCAGGGAUCCAGCACCGGCUCCUCCUCCGGCAACCACGGUGGGAGCGGCGGAGGAAAUGGACAUAAACCCGGGUGUGAAAAGCCAGGGAAUGAAGCCCGCGGGACCGGCGAAUCUGGGAUUCAGGCAAGUCAGCUAACCUCUCCGAGCCUGAGCUUCCUCCAGUAAAAUGAGGACAGUGAAGCCUGACUCACGCAGCCUUCAGUUACUGUACAGUUUCCAUGUCACCACCAGACCAAGGUGUUGUGGAGUCCAGACUCUGGAGACAGAUGCUGCAUAAGGCAUGGUGCUUGGUGUGCCAUGGGACUACACGGGCAAGGGUCCAGCUGGGGCAGUGGAGGAGGUGACGCUGUUGGUGGAGUCAAUACUGUGAACUCUGAGACGUCUCCUGGGAUGUUUAACUUUGACACUUUCUGGAAGAAUUUUAAAUCCAAGCUGGGUUUCAUUAACUGGGAUGCCAUAAACAAGAACCAGGUCCCGCCCCCCAGCACCCGAGCCCUCCUCUACUUCAGCCGACUCUGGGAGGAUUUCAAACAGAACACUCCUUUCCUCAACUGGAAAGCAAUUAUUGAGGGUGCAGACGCAUCAUCACUGCAGAAACGUGCAGGCAGAGCCGAUCAGAACUACAAUUAUAACCAGCAUGCGUAUCCCACUGCCUAUGGUGGGCAGUAUUCAGUCAAGACCCCUGCAAAGGUGAGACCUGCAACCGCCCUGUCUUCCCGCUGGGGGCUCUGCAUGAGGGAUGGGGAGAG
rnacentral:sRNA from 1 species